UUAUUGUUUUACAAGUGAACCUUUAAGUUUCUCCCCACCUACUCCCGCAGAAAAAGGCAUAUUCAAUUGUCCCAUACUAAUUUUUGAAUAACCUAACUCUCCCUUUGUUUCUACUAAGAGAGGUUUCUUUUUGGCUACAAGUAACAAUAUACAUAUACCCAAAGCAAAUGGAACAAUAUAAAGAAUAUCUCACAUAACAAAAAGUCCAAAGGUAAAGCAGUUCCUGGAUUGGUUAAUUCAGAAGCACAAUUCAGGUGCUUUCUAUCUACAUCCCACUAUUCUCAGUGUGAUAGCUUUCAUCUCCAUACUUGUCCUUUCAUGGCCAUCAGAAGGCUGUUGCAGAUUAGCUUCAAACAUCCAUAUCACAUAUCUUCACUGAGAAGCAGAAGAGGGAUGCUGGCAAAUCCCUAACUUGUAUCAAUUGUUAAGAGCAACAGAAAAUUUCUUAUUCAAAGCCUUCAGACUUCCUUUGUCUCGUUAGCCUAGAUUCCAUCAAAUGAUCAAGUAAGCCAAUUACCAUGAUUGGCACAGAAUCUAAUCAACACUCACCCUCUCUAGGCUAGGGAAGCACCCUAUUCUAUAGCACAAGGCAGCCAUACAGAGUUUUAGGCCAAAAAAAAAGAAAAAAAAAAUGGGGCUUUGUCAGCAAGGAAGGGAGAACGAAAUGGCUGAUGGGUAGGCAUAUGAAUGUCUAACAAACCAACUUAUUUGAACCCAGCUUUUUCACACACACAAUUCUCACACCUGUUUUAUUUUGAAGUUCUCUAUUGUGUUCUAUUUUGAUCUACUUCUGUGUCAUUAGCUAUUCCUGGGUCAUUAUGACUUUUAAUAAACUUUAUACAUGUAUAUUUGGUAGGAACUUUCCUAAAUUUUUUCAAAAUUAAAAUUUUUUCCCCAAAACAUGUGAGAAUUAGGAUUGCAGUCAUGCAUUGCUUAGCAAAGGGGAUACAUUCUGAGAAAUGCAUCAUCAUUAGGAGAUUUUAAAAUUGUACAAUCACAGAGUGUACUUACACAAACCUAGAUGGUAUGAUCUACUAUACACCUAAGCUAUGGCCUAUUGCUCCUAGGCUACAAACCUGUACAGCAUAUUAUUGUAGUGAAUACUGUAGGACACUGUAACACAAUGGUAAGUACUUGCAUAUCUAAACAUAAAGAAGGUACAGUAAAAAUACAGUAUUGUAAUCUUAUGGAACCACUGCCAUAUAUGAGGUCUGUCACUGACUGAAACAUCAUUAUAGGGCACAUAACUAGAAUUUAAUAAAUCAAGUUAAACAAAUUAUCUUUGUAAUACUGUACCCUUCCAUGAAAGGAAAAUGGUAUGCUUCUAACUUGAGUUUUCUUUAAUGUCCUAAAGUACAUUUUUAUAGUUUUUAUUUUGUGUUUUUAAUAUAAUGUUUGGUAUAGUCAAUCUUCUUAAUCUGCCAUUUCUAUGGCAGAGUACCCAGUGAAACAUCUUGUUUGGUGUGUCAGUCACCCCCUGCUGCAGAGUUCCCUGUCACACAAAUACAUGCAAAAGGGUAAUAAAUAAAUGGGAAACAAAGUAUAGUUUUAGUAAUCAACAUGCAAGAUUCUAACAAAAGCUGGAGAUAACUGCUUAUGCCAGAUAAUUUAAGUAAGAGAAAGUAAGUAGAAGAGGUGGUAAGAAAGAUAUAUCAGAUGAGCACUGACCCCAAACCACUAAGAUGAUAUGGUCCAAAGAAUGUCAGAAUGACUAAUUCAAUUAUCCAACUCUGCUCAGCUGGAAGAGGAAAGAAGGGAAUAAAGAUGUUAGAUCCUUUACCAGGACUUCCAUGCACGGGGAGAGAAGUUGAAAGUCAAAACUGUAACAGGAAUAAAUACAAAAAUUCUUUCCAAACAUACCUAAUAUUCUUUGGCCCUAGAGUCACUGAAUUCACAUUUAAACUAAUCUAUAUUUCAUUUUGAUUACAUUAAUGGAGCUCUGAAGGAAUGAAACCUAUUAAAGAAAAAUUAAAUUUAUAAACAAUUUAGGCAGUCAUAUAUGUAUUUAUAUAUACACACAUACAAUGUAUAUAUGAAAUCCUUAUACAGGUGUAAACAUUCUUAAUAAAUUAUAAGCAAUAAAAUAAAAAAAAUUUAGUAUGUUUGCUUUUUAAAAUAAAACAAAUUCAUACUUUAUCAAAAUUUGUUCAUUCUUCUCACAAAUAAUUCUGUUGGUACAUAAUUUUCUCUCAUGCUAAUUCAACAAACCCUGAGCUUUGUUUCUCCAUCUAUGGCUAAAUACAUAUCACUCUAACCAAAUAAAAAGGUUUAAAAUAAGGGCCCUGCAUCUUGGUGUCUGGUUAUUUGAAAUCCGGUUUUCAUUUUGAAUAGUUUUGGUUAAGUGUAUGUCAUGGCAGAAUGUCCCUUCAUCUCCUUUGAUCUGUGUUAAAUUGAUAAAAAUACAUGCUUACUCCUGUACAAACAUCGAACAAUGUAAUUAAAUCAUCACUACUUGAAAUACUUUUACAUGAAUAAUUUAUCUCUUUACACUGUUGAAGCCUUGCAUUUCAGUAUGUUCUACAGCUUCUGUAUCAUCACCUGAAAUUUGCCUAAAAAAAAAAAUACAAAUAAUUCUUUGAUUUUAGAUACAAAGAAAACAAGUCUAAACAUCAAUUUUCUGUUCCAUAUAGGAAAUAGUUUCAGUCAAGAAAUCUGCUAUGUCAAAAACUUUUUCGCAUUCUUCAUAAUAUUCAAUAAAGUCAAUUCUAUUUUUUCUUUUUUUUUGAGAUGGAGUCUUGCUCUGUUGCCCAGGCUGGAGUGCAGUGGCACGAUCUCUGCUCACUGCAACCUCCACCUCCUGGGUUCAAGUGAUUCUCCUGCCUCAGCCUCCUGAGUAGCUGGGACUACAGGCGUCUGUCACCACGCCCAGCUAAUUUUUGUAUUUUUAGUAGAGACAGGGUUUCACCUUAUUGGCCAGGCUGGUCUCAAACUCCUGACCUCAUGAUACGCCCACCUCGGCCUCCCAAAGUCAGGAGAUGGAGACCAUCCUGGCUAACACGGUGAAACCCAUCUCUACUAAAAAUACAAAAAAUUAGCUGGGCGUGGUGGCAGGCAACUGUAGUCCCAGCUACUCGGGAGGUUGAGGCAGGAGAAUGGCGUGAACCCGGGAGGUGGAGCUUGCAGUGAGCCGAGAUUGUGCCACUGCACUCCAGCC
ensembl:lncRNA novel transcript, antisense to TRAPPC6B